AACGCGAAGAACCUUACCUGGGCUUGACAUGCACGGGACGGUGGGUGGAAACACCCGCUUUCCUUCGGGACUCGUGCACAGGUGCUGCAUGGCUGUCGUCAGCUCGUGUCGUGAGAUGUUGGGUUAAGUCCCGCAACGAGCGCAACCCUCGUCCCUAGUUACCAGCGCGUUAUGGCGGGGACUCGUGAGAGACUGCCGGGGUCAACUCGGAGGAAGGUGGGGAUGACGUCAAGUCAUCAUGCCCCUUAUGUCCAGGGCUUCACACAUGCUACAAUGGCCGGUACAAAGGGCUGCGAUGCCGUGAGGCUUAGCGAAUCCUUUAAAGCCGGUCUCAGUUCGGAUCGGGGUCUGCAACUCGACCCCGUGAAGUCGGAGUCGCUAGUAAUCGCAGAUCAGCAACGCUGCGGUGAAUACGUUCCCGGGCCUUGUACACACCGAUAGC
rnacentral:rRNA from 1 species